rnacentral:lncRNA from 1 species
GGGGGGCGGGCGGAGAAGGGGCGAGGACCUGCCGGCGGCUGCUCACUGUUCGUUCCUGUGCAGAAGGCGGAAGAAGCCGCCAAGACGGCGCCGGAGCAGAGGCCUGAAAUCAGCCCCUCCCAGCUGCAGCCCCAGGGCCCCCCCCGGCCAGAAGUCACCUGCUCCUGCCAGUGCUGCCCAUGCAAGUGUCAUUACGUGACGAUAAGCAGCGCAAAACUGCCGCGUAGAUUCUCAAACAGCCACCAUGCACCCGUCCAUUAUACACAAGAAACUUGGAGGCAAAUUCUCUCUCUCCGUACCCUUCCAGGCUGUGCAAUACAUACAACAAUGGUAAUGACCAAGUAACCAGCAGCGCAGGAAUGACUCCUCACCUCGUAACAUGCCUUUAAGCACCAAGGACAUCCAGACAAGUGCAGCUGAAUCCAACACUAUAACGAAGCCAUCAGCAUGAAGAACACAUAGGACCUGCCGGCCACUUCCCAUUAGGGGCUGUAACCCUUAAUGUGUAAUAAACUCUCCACACCCACAGAACA